GACGAACGCUGGCGGCGUGCCUAAUACAUGCAAGUAGAACGCAGUUGCGAACGGGUGAGUAACGCGUAGGUAACUGGCUCAUAGCGGGGGACAAAGAUUGGAAACGAUAGCCAAUACCGCAUACUGUGAGAUGGAUCUGCGUUGUAUUAGCUAGUUGGUGGGGUAAAGGGUCACCAAGGCGACGAUACAUAGCCGACCUGAGAGGGUGGUCCGCCACACUUGGACUGGAGCCCCGCCCGUGCCCCUGAGGGAGGCAGCCGUAGGGGAUCAUCGGCCAUGGACCGAAGUCUGACCGAACAACGCCGCGUGGGUGAAGAAAGUUUUCGGAUCGUAAAGCUCUUUUGUUAGAGAAGCGGUAUCUAACCAGAAAGGGACGGCUAACUACGUGCCAGCAGCCGCGGUAAUUC
rnacentral:rRNA from 1 species